UACGUAGGGUGCAAGGCGUUAAUCGGAAUUACUGGGCGUAAAGCGUGCGCAGGCGGUGAUGUAAGACAGAUGUGAAAUCCCCGGGCUCAACCUGGGAACUGCAUUUGUGACUGCAUCGCUGGAGUGCGGCAGAGGGGGAUGGAAUUCCGCGUGUAGCAGUGAAAUGCGUAGAUAUGCGGAGGAACACCGAUGGCGAAGGCAAUCCCCUGGGCCUGCACUGACGCUCAUGCACGAAAGCGUGGGGAGCAAACAGG
rnacentral:rRNA from 1 species